UACGUAGGGGGCAAGCGUUGUCCGGAAUCAUUGGGCGUAAAGCGCGUGUAGGCGGUCCGGUAAGUCCGCUGUGAAAGUCGGGGGCUUAACCCUCGGAUGCCGGUGGAUACUGUCGGGCUUGAGUACGGAAGAGGCGAGUGGAAUUCCUGGUGCAGCGGUGAAAUGCGCAGAUAUCAGGAGGAACACCAAUUGCGAAGGCAGCUCGCUGGGACGGUACUGACGCUGAGGCGCGAAAGCGUGGGGAGCAAACAGG
rnacentral:rRNA from 1 species